rnacentral:rRNA from 1 species
CUACUGGGGUAUCUAAUCCCGUUUGCUCCCCUGGCUUUCGCGCCUCAGCGUCAGCAGAGAUCCAGUCGAGCGCUUUCGCCACCGGCGUUCCUUCUGAUAUCAACGCAUUUCACCGCUCCACCAGAAGUUCCCUCGACCCCUACCUCCCUCGAGCUCCGCAGUAUCCAAGGCACUUCCCCAGUUGAGCUGGGGGCUUUCACCCCGGACUUGCGAAGCCGCCUACGCGCCCUUUAAGCCCAGUGAUUCCGAACAACGUUCGCACGGUUCGUCUUACCGCGGCUGCUGGCAC